UCACGCUGGUUACGGUUACAGCCUACAGGCCGACGCCCUUUUUGCGAAUCUCACCGCCAGCAAUUGCUGCCCCUCUCGCUGCCGCCGGCAUCGCGUCCUCCCCGAUCCUUUUCUCUCUGCUUAUCUCGGCGCCCUUCGUCUGCAUCUCGCGGCUGGAAAUUGCUGCGCCUCUCGCUGCCGCCGCUCGUCCUCGACUCCUUGCCGUCCCUUGUCUUUCUGCUCAUCUCGCCGCCCUUCCAGUACGUCCUCACCGACGGCCAUCGCAAAUCGCUGCUGUCGGACCCUCCCCGUCCCUUCUCUGCAACCACGACGAGUCCGACGACAUCCAUGCAGGUGUACUUCCAUUUGGCCUGUGAGCUGUCGAUAUGAUUUUGACGAUGUAAAGAUUGGGCUUCCCCAAAUGUAAGUCCAAAUAUCUGGAUUAUCAGACAGAGUUAGCCUCUCCGUACUUGCAGCUAAAAGCAAGAGUUGUUCCAGGGCUCGAUUGGAAAUUGGUAAGUGAAAGAGUUGCUGAAUAUCCAAAAUUUCUUGGGCCUCUUGUAUUGAGAUUUCCUUCCUCUUUGCAAAGGAGAUCAACUAGCCAAGAAGCGAGGGACCACCUUUGGUAAAGUUGAAAUGAUCAGUGGCUAAAUUAUUAUAUCUGCGCAUACAAGAAUGGAUAAAGCAGCAAUAAAGUUUAACAAUACUAGAUGUUUAUGUUUAUAUUUUCCUUUUUCUAGUAAUAUGAACUUUGUAGUAUUCACUACAUUUUCUUAUUAGAAUCAUAUCCUUAUGUAUGAACAUGAUGUGAACAACAGAACAAGUACUACGGUUGUAACCUUCCUACAAUCAA